CCCAGACAGCCAGGAUGUUGGCUUAGAAGCAGCCAUCAUUUAAAGAAAGCGUAAUAGCUCACUGGUCGAGUCGGCCUGCGCGGAAGAUGUAACGGGGCUAAACCAUGCACCGAAGCUGCGGCAGCGACACUCAGGUGUUGUUGGGUAGGGGAGCGUUCUGUAAGCCUGCGAAGGUGGCCUGUGAGGGUUGCUGGAGGUAUCAGAAGUGCGAAUGCUGACAUAAGUAACGAUAAAGCGGGUGAAAAGCCCGCUCGCCGGAAGACCAAGGGUUCCUGUCCAACGUUAAUCGGGGCAGGGUGAGUCGACCCCUAAGGCGAGGCCGAAAGGCGUAGUCGAUGGGAAACGGGUUAAUAUUCCCGUACUUGGUGUUACUGCGAAGGGGGGACGGAGAAGGCUAUGUUGGCCGGGCGACGGUUGUCCCGGUUUAAGCGUGUAGGUGUGUGUUCCAGGUAAAUCCGGAACAUCAACUGAGGCGUGAUGACGAGGCACUACGGUGCUGAAGCAACAAAUGCCCUGCUUCCAGGAAAAGCCUCUAAGCAUCAGGUAACAUCAAAUCGUACCCCAAACCGACACAGGUGGUCAGGUAGAGAAUACCAAGGCGCUUGA
rnacentral:rRNA from 1 species